rnacentral:tmRNA from 1 species
GGGGCUGACAUGGUUUCGACGGGAGUGGCGAACCCUGAGGUGCAUGCCGAGGAUCAGAUUACCUCGUUAAUCCAGCUGAAAAACUAUAGUUGCCAACGACGACAACUACGCACUGGCUGCCUAAUUAGACAUUAACCUCUAGUUAGAUCAGUUCUACCGCGUCCCGGAUCUGUCUGUGGGUUCGGGCGGGGGCACCAGACACAGGAUCGCGAGAAGGGUCGCCCUUACACCAGAUCGUUAAAUCAAUAAUGGGCUCGCUGCUUUAUUCGGUGUUCUUCCUGGGUAAUCGCGGCUAAAGCCAAUGAAGAAACUAAGCAUGUAGUACCAAUGGCAGAGUGCUUUCGGACGGGGGUUCGACUCCCCCCAGCUCCACCA